rnacentral:rRNA from 1 species
UACGAAGGUGGCAAGCGUUGUUCGGAUUUACUGGGCGUACAGGGAGCGUAGGCGGUUGGAUAAGCCCUCCGUGAAAUCUCCAGGCUUAACCUGGAAAGUGCAGAGGGGACUGUUCAGCUAGAGGAUGGGAGAGGAGCGCGGAAUUCCCGGGUGUAGCGGUGAAAUGCGUAGAGAUCGGGAGGAAGGCCGGUGGCGAAGGCGGCGCUCUGGAACAUUUCUGACGCUGAGGCUCGAAAGCGUGGGGAGCAAACAGGG